rnacentral:rRNA from 1 species
AACGAACGCUGGCGGCAUGCCUAACACAUGCAAGUCGAACGAUCCCUUCGGGGAUAGUGGCGCACGGGUGCGUCACGCGUGGGAACCUGCCCUUAGGUUCGGCCUAACUCAGAGAAAUUUGAGCUAAUACCGGAUAAUGUCUUCGGACCAAAGAUUUAUCGCCUUUGGAUGGGCCCGCGUUGGAUUAGCUAGUUGGUGGGGUAAAGGCCUACCAAGGCGACGAUCCAUAGCUGGUCUGAGAGGAUGAUCAGCCACACUGGGACUGAGACACGGCCCAGACUCCUACGGGAGGCAGCAGUGGGGAAUAUUGGACAAUGGGCGAAAGCCUGAUCCAGCAAUGCCGCGUGAGUGAUGAAGGCCUGAGGGUUGUAAAGCUCUUUUACCCGGGAUGAUAAUGACAGUACCGGGAGAAUAAGCCCCGGCUAACUCCGUG